AUUGAACGCUGGCGGCAGGCCUAACACAUGCAAGUCGAACGAGUGGCGGACGGGUGAGUAAUGUCUGGGAAACUGCUUGAUGGAGGGGGCUAACUAAUGGAAACGGUAGCUAAUACCGCAUACCAUCGGAUGUGCCCAGAGGGGAUUAGCUAGUGGGUGGGGUAAAGGCUCACCUAGGCGACGAUCCCUAGCAGGUCUGAGAGGAAGACCAGCCACACUGGAACUGAGACACGGUCCAGACUCCUACGGGAGGCAGCAGUGGGGAAUAUUGCACAAUGGGCGAAAGCCUGAUGCAGCCAUGCCGCGUGUAUGAAGAAGGCUUUCGGGUUGUAAAGUACUUUCGGCGGGGAGGCGUUACCUACAGAAGAAGCACCGGCUAACUCCGUGCCAGCAGCCGCGGUAAUUC
rnacentral:rRNA from 1 species